GAGAUGUGGAAUGCAGGAAGCAGUACCUCCGGGGAGGGGAUGCGGGGCUGUCGGCUUGGCUCCCCCUCUGGCUGGGCUGACCUGGGAGAAGCAGGAGAAGCUGCUCUUGGAGGGGUGCAGGAAAUCCUUCUUGAGACCCUCCCUGGUGCCAGGCAAGGGGCUUGGCUUCACCUGCACACCCAGACCCUGCUGCAUGGAGACCUCAACGUUCUGCUGUCUCCUUCACUGACUCCCUUAGCCCGAGGACGGGCCGAAGAUACAGACAGGCUUUUCAUUGGCUGGACAGCAAUCUCCAGCUGCCCGUGCCUCCCGGGGCUCUGUUUCUGCUGUUGCCCUCAAGAUAUCACCAGACCAGGAAAUUUCACAGCCUCCAGGUUCAAACAUGCCUGUGCUUGAACCUUGGGUCUCACUGCAUAGCCCAGGCUGGUCUCGAACUUCUCCAAUCCUCCUGCCUCAGCCUCUCAAGUGCUGGUAUUACAGCUAACAUCUUUUGAAUACCCUUUCUGUGUGCUGAACACUGUGAAGUGCUUGCUGUGUUCCACAGCGUGGAGUCCUUAGUGCUUGCGUGCACCUGCCACACCAAAGGGUGGGAACUUGUCAGCACAUUUUUCAGUUAAGGAAUAAGAGUCAGCAGGCUUUUGAGAUCCAAACCCACUCACUCCCGGCACCCCUUGAUGUUCCACUCUGGGAUUCACAAAGUCCAAUAUUCAACAUGUAUGUUUCAGGAUAUAUCCUGCC
rnacentral:lncRNA from 1 species